CCACAAACACGCUUCUUCCCUGCACCUACAACGCCCCAACGUCUUCUUCUUUUUCGGAAAAAAAGGGGAUGCACCUCACUUUUUCUCCUCCUUCCCCGGGCGUCUGCAUGCUGCGCGCUCACCUUCCCCAUGCUCCUAAUUCGUCCUCUCGCAUCAAUCGCCCAUCAUCCGCUUCCAAAGAAAGGACCAUGGACCGCCGAAAAACAAUAAUGUCCGAUGGUCUCCAAUGUCACCUCUUCCUCCAUCCACCGUCCAUCAAUCACAACCUUUUUUUAUAUCAACUUUACAUCUUUUUUGAUUUAUUUCUAACCCAAAACAUGCCUAGAAGUCUCAGUAAUCAUCAUUGCUCCGCCUAAAAGCGGGGGAUGCGAAGAACAAUCGUAUUUUGAUUGGUUACGCCCUUAAUCUAAUGGGACUGAGGUUGGAAUCCUCCCCCAAAUUUAUCUAUAAAAGACCCCUUGGGUUCUCCAUCUAAAGGCAUCGGAAAAAAAAAAGAAAAGAUAUGAAAAAAUCCAGAAAAUGGGGACUAAAAUAACAUCACACACCAACCACAUCCAAAUAUAACCAACAAUGAUAGAGAAAAAUGAUUGAAAAAACUGCAACACUUCAAGGCUUUUAGAGUUUAAAUUGUCUCUCUUCUUGUCUUUCUGUUUUCGAUUUUGAAUUCAAGUUCGAGGAAUUUAAAAGUUUGAAUCUUCGACGUCUAAGCUCUAAUUUGCUGCUCAACACAAGGGCUGGAGUUUCUAUUUUGGAAUUCGUUAUUGGCCUAAAAUAUUAGACCAACCGCAAAUUAGAAUCACCGCAAUGCUUGGAGUCUCAUAAAUAGGAGUCUAAUGCUUUCUUAUCCUUUCUUUUGUUGCUUUAAUUAUAUUUGUUUUGAUAUGUUGACUGACCUUUACUCUUAAGUUUGAUAUAUUGAUUGUCUUUUAUUUUUGAAGUUUA